GCGAGUGUAACCAAGAGGCCAAAGGUGACCGACUCAAGAUCGGUUCUCGUAGGAGUUCGCAGGUUCGAUUCCUGCCACUCGCA
rfam:Methanolinea sp. SDB scaffold-8408, whole genome shotgun sequence.